GAUGAACGCUGGCGGCGUGCCUAAUACAUGCAAGUCGAGCGAACGGACGAGAAGCUUGCUUCUCUAAUGUUAGCGGCGGACGGGUGAGUAACACGUGGAUAACCUACCUAUAAGACUGGGAUAACUUCGGGAAACCGUAGCUAAUACUGGAUAAUAUUUUGAACCGCAUGGUUCAAAAGUGAAAGACGGUCUUGCUGUCACUUAUAGAUGGAUCCGCGCUGCAUUAGCUAGUUGGUAAGGUAACGGCUUACCAAGGCAACGAUGCAUAGCCGACCUGAGAGGGUGAUCGGCCACACUGGAACUUAGACACGGUCCAGACUCCUACGGGAGGCAGCAGUAGGGAAUCUUCCGCAAUGGGCGAAAGCCUGACGGAGCAACGCCGCGUGAGUGAUGAAGGUCUUCGGAUCGUAAAACUCUGUUAUUAGGGAAGAACAUAUGUGUAAGUAACUGUGCACAUCUUGACGGUACCUAAUCAGAAAGCCACGGCUAACUACGUG
rnacentral:rRNA from 1 species